AACAAGGAUAAGCUCAGCAUGGAAAUCGGGGUCCUGGGCCCUGAAUUGUAGGCUGGAGAGGUAUUACCAGCGGAGGCGCAGAUGUAAGCCUUUUGGAAAAGAGCAUCAACGAGGGUGAGAGUCCCGCUUGUCAUCUGCAGUCCCCCGACGCGCGCAGUGCUUCUUGCUCUACGUGUCAUCUGCGGCCCACAUUUGGGGAAAACUCUGGGGACAUGGUAGCCUGCCCUUGGGUGGGUGAACGUGCUCAGUUGUACCCACUUGGGUGCCGAUUGAUGACUAAAUGGUUCCUUUCG
rnacentral:rRNA from 1 species